UCUGAAAGAUAGUUUGAGGUCUAAUCUGUCUCUUUUUUGUUUUAAAAUUUGCUGUCUGUGUGAAGAAGCACAGGUUGUUAAAAAAGACAAGAAGACCCUUUUAAGACUUUAUUUAGAAUUCUUUGGCUUUUUCUUUCAAUGAAUUUGGCUAAGGUCUAUAAAUUUGGUUGGGGUGACUGAAGAAGAUAAAAUCUUCUUUUGUUUAUUAGUACUUUAGGUUAAAAAAUGACCCAAGAUUUCUUGGUUGUAAAGUAUUUUAGUUACUAAAGGGAUAACAGCGUAAUCUUUUCAAAGAGUUCUUAUUGAAGAAAAGGAUUGCGACCUCAUGUUGACCUUGCUUUUUCCUGUUAUGGUGUAUAAGCUGUAAGGGUGGGUCUGUUCGACCUUAUAAUAGU
rnacentral:rRNA from 1 species